rnacentral:lncRNA from 1 species
AAAAGUGUAGAAGCUAGGACAAAAAUAUACAUCAUUAGUGGCGGAUUCAGGUGGUGGCCAGUUAGGGCCGCCGUCCUAGCUGAAUUCACUGGAACAGCCUGGCGCCGGCGUCGAUUCUGAAUCUGUGAUGACAAAUUUGGCUGACAGUGGCGCUUGGCUGUGGUGCUGUUGGGCAGUUGGCCUCCUCAUUAUUUAUUUAUUUAUUUAUUUUUUUAACUUAAUUAGGCAAGCCCAAAUUAAAAAGCUCAAAUCACCCAUAGGCCAUAUUGAUUAUGGACCAGAUUACUUACCUACCAGAAUUAGUUUCUCUUUUCCCCAAUUCUUGACUUCCUUCCCGUGAAAACCGGCUGCUACAGAGAUCAGAGAAGAGUAAACCCUUCUUGAGUUCUUCCCCCAAUUCCUUCCCGUCAAAUUGGUCACCUAAGUUCACUGAUUGAGCUAGUAGUAGCAUGAACGGUGAACUCACUAGUAUGAUUUGCCAUUUUUUUCUAAGUCUCUCGUUCUCUGAGUCUAAGACAAAUGUGAUUUUUUUGUAAGUUUCAUGUAUUUAUAAAUUAUACAGAUAUAAUGGUCCAAUUUUUGGGUUGUUGAUGAAUUUAGCUUCGGUUUUUAUUAAGAUUUGGUUAAUUGUGCUUUGC